rnacentral:piRNA from 1 species
UCUUUGUGAUCGGUAAUUGGCUUCUCUUG